UCUUUGAUGGUCUAACGGUCAUGAUUUCCGCUUGUCAUAAAACACAAGUCGCGGGAGAUCGGGGUUCGACUCCCCGUCAGAGAG